CAUGCCGGGACUUGUGGUCUCCGAGGGUUCGUGCGCGCCGGUUUCUGGGACCCGUCGCUUGGUUUAAGAACCCGCCGGCGGCCUAAAGGACCGCGGGAGCAUCCUUGGGAGGCUGAGAGCUGAGAAGAAAUGGGAAGCUCAUGUAGGACAGGCCACAGGCAACCGUGAAAGCAAACUCGGUAUAAUUUUGAUUUCGGAGCGAAUGUGACAGCCGGGAAGUCCCUUCACAGCCAGCGGCGGGCCCCCCUGAACAUCAGGAGACGCCAGUUCUAGUCCCAACUAUGUGUCUUGUAAGUUGUGUAGAAUGAACGUUAUUUCAGCGCCCCCAGGGCCGCCGUUUCCUGCCCGGUGACCGAAGUACUCUCCCAGUUCUGACCCGUUCCGGCUCCCACACCAAGCCUGUCCUUCCUCACCAGCCGAAUUUGAUAUCUUCGCUGCAACUCCUCACCCCACCCUACGCACCCCGGCCAGUGUUUCUCAACAUUCCGUGCAGCUCGCCUCUCCAGUUCUUUGUACUAGAUGUUCCCUGCGCUUGGAAUGCUUUUGUUCCCUGGGCAAACAGCGUCUCUCUUUAAGUCAGCUCAAAAGCAUCUCCUUGAAAUCGGCUUUGGACACACCAAACAGAUGCUCCAUGCCCCCAAAACCAUUUCAUAUUUUGAACGGUCAAGGUGUCAUUCAAAAACAGAAGAUGUAUACAGAGGAACACAGUUUCUAACAUCUGUCCAUUUCCCAUUUGCAUCCUCAGCUCCAAGCCCAAUGUGGGGCUUGAACUCACAACCCUGAGAUGAAAUAAUCUCCAGGUCGUACCCGAGUUCUUCGAAAAAUCAUUUCUAAGUUACAUGGCCUCCAAGCCCAAACUCUUCAGAAGGGAUUUCUCAACCUGCCUCUCUGAGUUCACAAGGUAAACAUCUCCAGUGAAUAGCCAGCCAUUCCUUGGACACACUGCAGCAAGGAGUGUGGACACACUCACAGCACAUCAGCUGUGAGGUCAGCCUUUCGGAGGACAGACUCAGGGAAGAAGCCUGCACAGAUCCUGGAAGUGAGCUUGGGGUCAUUUGUACUAGGAAUUUGUGCUUCAAAGCUAAGUCUGUGUGUGCUUGAGUCAGGGACUGGGAGAGUGGGAGCAUGGAUGAGUAUGUUUCCUUGAACCAUGGACUUUUUAGUUCUUGGGAGAUUGUAGCUAGGGGAAAGCCAAAUAAGACUCUGCAGGGAGGGGACCAAGGGCAAGGCCCACUAUUGUCUUAAUCUCAGGAAAGAACUGCACUAAAACUGGGACAGAACUGCAGGUGCUUUUCUGACCUUUUAAAGUAAAGCCAUUAAGCCAAAUACAAAGAUUAUCCUUGCAAAUAAAGGGACAGAAACAUGGAAAUGAAAAGAUAUGCAUGGGGUGCCUGGAUAGUUCAGUCAGUGGAGCAUGUGACUGUUGAGCUCAGGGUGUGGUUUUGAUCCCCAUGUUGGGUUUGGAGAUUACUUAAAAAUAAAAAGGAAAUAUUAAAAAGAAAAA